rnacentral:misc_RNA from 1 species
AAGUCGUAACAAGGUCUCCGUUGGUGAACCAGCGGAGGGAUCAUUACUGAGUUCUAAACUCCCAAACCCUCUGUGAACCUUACCUACCGUUGCUUCGGCGGGACCGCCCCGGCGCCUCUGCGCGCCGGAAACACGGCGCCCGCCGGGGGACCGAAACUCUUGAUUCCUUCAGUGGUAUUCUCUCUGAGUGGCAUAAGCAAAAUAAAAUAAAAACUUUCAACAACGGAUCUCUUGGUUCUG